AACUCUCUUGCAGGAUUAUCUUCUUAAAAAUCAAAAUGCUCCAUGACAGAAGUAGAGAAUUUUCAGCAUCAAUCUCUAUAAAAGCCAAUUUGACAAACUGUACAACAAUGAAAUCCUUUUGAAAUCUUACAGCCUUUGUUGAAUUCAUUUCUCAAAUCUGAAAUAAUUUUCAACAUAUUAUUUGCUAUUUUGUGGAAUUGGGUUUCCAAGCAUGCACCACAAAUGACUUUUCCAAAAUUGUGAACUUUUUAAAAACUAAAAUAUUGCAAAAGCGUAAGCACUUAAAUCCAGAGCAGGUGCAAAAGCAAGCAACUAACUUCGCUCGAAAAUUCAUUCGAGACAGUCUUGUGCAAACUAAAUUUGAUAAAACUACUAUGAAACUUCUGAGUGACUUUGCAAAUCAACAUAUUUGAGAAAUUUUGUACAUACUCUGUGCCUGUAUUCUCAGCAUAAAAUAUAUAUAUGUAAAGUUACCUUGUACAGUAAAAGCCAUGUAAUAAAAGAAAAUUUGUAUACAGAAUAA